rnacentral:rRNA from 1 species
GAUGAACGCUGGCGGCGUGCUUAACACAUGCAAGUCGAGCGAGUGAGUUCUUCGGAACGAUCUAGCGGCGGACGGGUGAGUAACACGUGGGCAACCUGCCUCAUAGAGGGGAAUAGCCUCCCGAAAGGGAGAUUAAUACCGCAUAAAAUUAUCGAGUGGCAUCACACGGUAAUCAAAGGAGUAAUCCGCUAUGAGAUGGGCCCGCGGCGCAUUAGCUAGUUGGUGAGGUAACGGCUCACCAAGGCGACGAUGCGUAGCCGACCUGAGAGGGUGAUCGGCCACAUUGGGACUGAGACACGGCCCAGACUCCUACGGGAGGCAGCAGUGGGGAAUAUUGCACAAUGGGGGAAACCCUGAUGCAGCAACGCCGCGUGAGUGAUGAAGGUCUUCGGAUCGAAAAGCUCUGUCUUUGGGGACGAUAAUGACGGUACCCAAGGAGGAAGCCACGGCUAACUACGUGCCAGCCGCCGCCGUAA